rnacentral:lncRNA from 1 species
GAUAAGUUUGAGACUUCGACCAACAGUUGAGCAGAGUUAAGUGGCCUAUGGACAAAGAAGUAAUUAAAUCAGCAGUUUCAGCCGAGCAUCAUUCUCAUCAGAUAGGAGCAGCGCACACUGGGAAACUGUGUCCUGGGCUAGCCAGGAAGAUCCACAGCUAAGGGACUGGUUGGAGCAGGUACAGCAGAGAUAUGUUCCCCAUCCAUGUUUGUACUGGACCAGCAGCUGUUUGCCAAGGGGAGAAGACCAGAAGGAAAAAAAAAAAAAGGCAGGUGACCUCCUGUUAACCUCACCCGUCUGCAAGAGGCUGCUGCCCUCACCUCUGAAUGAACUUUCAGAUUAUCUCAGACAAGAUUCACCUUGCGCUGAACUUGUACACCCGCUCCGAAGCCCCCAGUCACGUAGCUGUGAUUAAACAUUACAGAGUGGCCAUAAAUUUACAGAAGUAUUAUUGUGGUUUGCUUUCCUCUUUCUUCU